rnacentral:ncRNA from 21 species
UCGCAAUUCUCAGGAAACGGUUCCGCUGUUCAGGCGGAUGAAAAGGGAACACGGUGAAGCCAUCCUGGUUGAUGCCGCGACUGCCCCCGCAACUGUAACCGGAGAGCUAUCCUCCACAGCCGUGCAAGCGGUAAAAGCCACUGAGAGCAGUCGAUGCACUCGGGAAGGCGGAGGGAAAGCGACGACCCGGAAGUCAGGAGACCUGCCGUAUCCGGUCACCCAUGC